rnacentral:lncRNA from 1 species
UGUGUGGUCUUAUUGGCUCGAGCCGCCUCGUGCGAUGCGCGUCACGGCGCCGUGCGGUCGCGGGGGCGGGCAGACGCGGUGGCGGCGGUAGCGGCGGCGCGAGCUCUAUCCAGACACGGUAUCGCGGUGGAGACAGCUGCGGCGCCUACACCGUGUUGGGUCCCCUCCCUCCUCCAUUCCCCCUCCUCCCCUUCCCCCGCAGCGCUGGUUCUCUGGGAGUCCGAGACGUGUGGCGAGGCGGCGACAAGCUCCAGAGAGGCUGAAAUGGAACCCAGGGACUUGGGCAUCCUGAGCUUGUGCUCCACUACUAGGCUACAUCCCCAGCCCUGCAAGUAUUUUACUUCAUGUUGUUACCCAUUAAGGGGUUGUGAAAUCAAUUUAGGGAUUAAAGUAGGAAAAAUAAGCAUCAGCUUGUAUUGCAGGCAGUAGAGAUAAGAUGUUUGGUGAAAUUUUUAUUUCUGUGUGUAUGUAUGGCUUAUUACCUCUAGGGUAAAUUUCUCUGAAGUGUAGUUAUUGAAGUGAAAGUUUUGGAUGUUAUGGGAAUUUUUAGAUGUAUUGAAAAUUGUCUAAUUGUUGCCCAAAAUUGUAUCACUUUGCAUUUUUUAACACCAGAAUAUGAAGAUUGCAUUCUCUAAAUCCUUAUGAUUCAAUAUGGUCAGAUUUUUUUUAGAUUCUUACAAAUCAGAUGAGUGUGAAAUGGUAUCACAUUGUUUUAAUUUCUAUUUUUUUUAUUAAUUGUAUGACUCAGCAAGUUUUCAAAUCAUGGCUGUCUAUUCAGUUUUCUGUUUCUUGAAAUGACUGUUCUUUUCCUCUCAUAACCAAUUAGGUUGCCCUUCUAAACUGAUUUUAUUAUAUAUUCUAAUUACAUCUGUAAAGUGAAUUGCAGAUAUCUUCUCAGUCUGUGUGGCUUAUCUGUUAACUUUUCAUAUGAUUUUGUUGAAUUAAAAUGAUUAUCAAAUCUGUCACUUUUUCCUUAU